AUUCCAUUUUGUCUUUGUUAGUAAGUGUAGCCUUAAUACAAUAUCAUACUAUUGCAGGCAGUGGAUAGUGGUCUCCUGUUAAAGCUUUCUUUCAGCACUAUAUUUGAGUAUCUUCAGAUGCUGCAAAUAAUUUCAAAGCCAAUGAAGGAUAUUGGCCCACGUGCAAUGUUCUAUCUUAUCUAACUUUUAUGUUCCUCAGAAGGAGAUGGUAUAAAAUUGUAAUGUUGGUUCUUCUUUCCAUGAAAGUUUCAUCCCUUGUUAACUUCAAUUUUGGCUUGAAUGAUUUUGUAAUAUGUUAAGAUACAAGAAUAUUAACCAUGUCGAUUUCAACAUCUGUGCUAGAGUUAGUUAUUAUUUAGAGAAUUAGCAUACAGAUAACACUGCAUAACUUAAUUAGUCCUGCUUAGAUUGUGAAAACUGAAAAGUAUAAGCAGAAAGACAUUUAUUGUAUUU